GAGACCCAUACCUCUAGUUGCUACUCAUUAGAUUCUAAUGACGCACUCUAAAGGGACUGCAAGCGCUAAGCUUGAGGAAGGAAUGGGCGACGGUAGGUCUGUAUGCCCCGAAUUUUCUGGGCCACACGCGGCAUACAAUGAUCUGGACAGCGGGAUGCGACACCGAAAGGUGAAGCUAAUCCCUUAAACCAGACCUUAGUUCGGAUCGUGGGCUGUAACUCGCCCGCGUGAAGCUGGAAUCCCCAGUAAUCGCGUUUCAAAAAAGCGCGGUGAAUAC
rnacentral:rRNA from 1 species